rnacentral:rRNA from 1 species
CCUACGGGAGACAGCAGUGAGGAAUAUUGGUCAAUGGGCGUAAGCCUGAACCAGCCAAGUCGCGUGAGGGAUGAAGGUUCUAUGGAUCGUAAACCUCUUUUAUAAGGGAAUAGAGUGUGGGACGUGUCCUGUUAUGUAUGUACCUUAUGAAUAAGGAUCGGCUAACUCCGUGCCAGCAGCCGCGGUAAUACGGAGGAUCCGAGCGUUAUCCGGAUUUAUUGGGUUUAAAGGGUGCGUAGGCGGCCUUUUAAGUCAGCGGUGAAAGUCUGUGGCUCAACCAUAGAAUUGCCUUUGAAACUGGGAGUCUUGAGUAUGUUUGAGGCAGGCGGAAUGCGUGGUGUAGCGGUGAAAUGCUUAGAUAUCACGCAGAACCCCAAUUGCGAAGGCAGCCUGCCAAGCCAUGACUGACGCUGAUGCACGAAAGCGUGGGGAUCAAACAGGAUUAGAUACCCUGGUAGUC